rnacentral:lncRNA from 1 species
GGGGGCUCCUGGGUAUAAAUAAUUUUUUUUUUUUAAUAUAGGAUUUCGCUAUAUUUUUUCAUGAAUGAACUUUAUCAUAUACUUAAAAGAAAAAUGAAAUAAAAAAUAGGGGUCACCGUUCAUAUAAGCUAAAAUCUGCCUCUGGAAGAAGCAUACAUUUUUGUUAAUGUCCUUUUUUUCUGUUGAACUAAUAGAAGAAAAAGAGGAAAUAUCGAAAUAAAAAAAUAACCUAAUAUAAGAAAUCGCUUAAAUUUUACAAUUAUUUAGUUUAUGUACAGCUUAUUUGAAAACAAUAAUAAAAAAUAUAGGUCACCGAUGAGUUAAAAAAGAUAUUUUAAAUUUUAAGGCCAAAAAAUGGCAUUUUUGCACCAAAGGGAGAUAAUUUGGAGAUUUUUCAAUUUUUAAAGUCAUCUGGGGCCAAACCAAAUCAUUUUUUUGGGUUAUUUUUUGUACCAUAUCAUAAAGUAACAACUAAUAGUGUAAUAAAUAAAAUUUGUAAUGAAAAAAUAGAGGUUUAAUUUUUUGCUAAAAUUUUUGUACCCACGAGCCACCUUAA